rnacentral:pre_miRNA from 1 species
UUGUUUGCGGCUGUAGCAUCAUCAAGAUUCACACAUGCAAUUGAUGCAACUCAAAACUCCCUCUUUCGUCCAAAGUUGUUUGAAAGUACUGAGAAUCUUGAUGAUGCUGCAUCGGCAAUAAA